rnacentral:rRNA from 1 species
UACGUAGGGCGCAAGCGUUGUCCGGAAUUAUUGGGCGUAAAGAGCUCGUAGGCGGCUUGUCACGUCGGGUGUGAAAGCCCGGGGGCUUAACCCCCGGGUCUGCAUUCGAUACGGGCUAGCUAGAGUGUGGUAGGGGAGAUCGGAAUUCCUGGUGUAGCGGUGAAAUGCGCAGAUAUCAGGAGGAACACCGGUGGCGAAGGCGGAUCUCUGGGCCAUUACUGACGCUGAGGAGCGAAAGCGUGGGGAGCGAACAGG